UACGGAGGGUGCAAGCGUUAUCCGGAUUUACUGGGUUUAAAGGGUGCGUAGGCGGGUAGGUAAGUCAGUGGUGAAAUCUCCGAGCUUAACUCGGAAACUGCCUUUGAUACUAUUUAUCUUGAAUAUUGUGGAGGUAAGCGGAAUAUGUCAUGUAGCGGUGAAAUGCUUAGAUAUGACAUAGAACACCCAUUGCGAGGGCAGCUUACUAUGGUUUGAUUGACACUGAGGCACGAAAGCGUGGGGAUCAAACAGG
rnacentral:rRNA from 1 species